rnacentral:misc_RNA from 1 species
CUUUUGUUUCCCGAUUCUGGAAUUAUAAAAGCCUGAAGGCUUCUUCUUUAUUUUACACGCUGGCCGCCUGGCGUCGCUGUUGUCAUAUUUACAAUUUUGCUGAACAGCAGACAGUUCAUGCGGAUGGGUACGGAGAGCCGGAGUCACAUCUCUGCAGUGUGCACACUUGUGAAAGAGUUAUAAAGGCUAAGGUUCGGUGGCGGGAAUAGCUGGUUCUUUUCGGAUACUUAAUGGUGUCUAUAUUUAUUCAAACAGCACAAGAUGGUGGUGACGUGUUAUGUUGAAGGAUGCCAGUCUGGAAAUGAUCCAAAAGAAAACAUUCAUUUUUUCAAGCCAAAUGAUAACAAUUUGAAUCAGUGGCAGCAACUAAUAGGUCGAAAGGACGUUAAGCUGAAUAAAAAGCACUCAGUUUGUCAAAAACACUUUGAAGAUGACCAAAUCAUCAAGCAUAAAAUAUUUAACGGUGCAGAUGGACCAAUAAUAGUUUAUGAUUUGCGUCGUUGGAAACUUACUGAAGGAGCUUUACCAAAACUCCAAACUGGACUAUUUCAAAAAAAUAACCUGCCCGUACUUGAUGAUGAAGUCACCGUGCUUCGAGAAGUACGGAAUACGAUUCAACAAAAUCAUCACCCUGCCAACACAAUUACUGAAAAAAGUGUCAUAAAUCAUAAGGAAAUUGCCCUGCCAUUAUCAUGGUUCUGGCAAGAAGGAAGUCUGAAGGAACAAGAAUUCGUGUGCUCGAAAUUCAAAUGGUUGGAUGAAAACGAGUUCGAGUAUACCAAGACUGUUAUCAUCAACGGAAACACUUGUACCCUUCGCUAUUUCAUUCGAGGCAAGCAAAUUUACCACGAAAAGCUCAAGUAUCAUUUCUCUACGGUAAAUGAGCUUACUUCUUUUCUUAAACUGUACGACGACGCACAAGUAUGUAAUGAUUAUCCCGGUUUGUUGAACCAAGUGAGUAAUAUUUCAAAACAAUCCAACCGUACUCCACCAAGGCAGGAAGUUGCCCAUUCCAGAUUUGACGAGACUUCUCUGGAGGUACCGUCGAUUCCUCCGAAGAGAACCUACAGCAAUAUGCAACAAUCGCAAGCGGCGUCCAAGAUUCACAAUAGGAAUCCAGGCAAUAACGCCAGCGAAAACCUUGUUGAACCUGAAGUAACUAGUGUUCUUAUGGAUCACGCUUAUGGUGUGGCAACUAACCUUCCUGCCCCAUUAGUGCAAACAUCUUCUGAAAUCAUCGGUAAGAAAUCAGCAAUUGUGAAUACUUCCGCAGAUCAUCGUCAGUCAGCAAAUAUCAGUCAGCUUGAAGAUUUCCGUGGUUCUCAAGUUAUUCCUGAAAGUCAUCACGUCGGUCAAAUCGAAGAUAGAGAUUCCGUUACGUUGCAGUAUCCUAUUGAAUUUUAUACUUCUUCCGGUUCCAGUUUAAAAGAACUUGAACAGAUGCUGGUUAAGCGCCCCGAAUUCUUCCAAUAUUCGACCUAUAAUCUGAUUUCAUAUCAUUUGGAAACGUGGUGUCUCGGAGUUUACUCACCGUUCAAACCAGAUAUGGUCUCUCCGUCAUUCAUACAAUUCUUUAAUCCUCACAAAGUUUUUACAACUCCAGUGGAGCGAACCCCAAUGAUUGAAAAUUAUUGCGUCACCUCCUGUCAACCGUCUUUCUUGGUCGAAAAACCCAAACAAGUCUACUGCCGUCGUGGAGUCAUCCCCCUUUGUCCUACCAAAGAAAUCAGGAAAUCGGCUUUGAAAAAAACUGACAUCGAAAAUAGGAAAAUCCACAACGGAAAAAUCCAUGUUACAUCUAAUGUUGAGUCAGUCGCUCAACUUUCCCUAUCUAACCUUUUCCAGGAUGACAACAAUUAUUUUGAUUAUCAACCUAUUGAAACAAAUCGACCUUCUGAAUUGGAUAAACCUACCGAAUCAAGUAUCCCGAAAACUGUCGGAAAGAGAGUACGUUCAUCUUUAUUCUCCGAUAUGGAAAGUGAAGUUGAUGACAAUGUUAAAAAGGACCUCGAAUUGGCAAGACGCUUUUUGGAGAAAGAAAUUCGUCGAAGGAAAACGCUACGGAAAAAAUGCCAAAGAUAUUCUACAAGGGUUGAAAGGAACAAAAAAAUGGCUCGCUCUCUUUUGAAAGCGCUGGAAGAAUUUGAGCUGAAAAAGUGCGAAAAUGAAAUAGUCAAACAACCCAAGCGAACACAAGGCUCCAAGAAACCUGGCCCUCAGAUGCCAUGUAAUCAAUGCGGUAGAAUGAUUCUGGUUGCGCGAAUGAAAUACCAUCUUAAAAUUCACAGUGAUGUUAAAUCGCACUUGUGCGAACUUUGUGGCCGAGCAUUCGUGUUUAGAAAGAGUCUCAACACACAUAUUCGAUAUAAUCAUCUUGGGCAAGAACGGCCGAAACAUUUCAUGUGUAGCACUUGUGGUCACACUUGCUCAUCUAGAAAUCACCUGGAGAAGCAUGAAAGGAUUCAUACUGAUGAAAAGCCGUUCGAAUGCAAAUAUUGUGACAGAAGAUUUCGUGAGAAAGGAACUUUGGUCCGACAUAUCCGAACUCAUACAGGAGAGAAACCUUACCCGUGCAAUAUAUGUGGAACCUCUUAUGCUGCGAGAGAAACGUACGUCAGCCAUUACCGGAGGAAGCACGAAAACAAGAGACCAGCAAAGGAUCCAAACUCACAAUCACGAGUUAGACGUUCAGUUGGACCAUCUUAUACGUGCGAAUUUUGCCAAAAAGUUUUCUUUCGGCUUUUGGCGUACGAAAAACACCGUUCCGCUCACACUGGUGUGGCGGCAGCCAUCGGUUGUUCUCAGCCAAAUUGUGAUUACAAGUACUCUGAUAUGAUGCAGCUCAAGGAUCAUAUGGUGACGCAACAUCCCGAAAAAGCCUACACUUGCGAUAUAUGCAAGAAAGUCUUCCUGACUAAACUGAAUUUGACUCUUCAUCAGUCUGUUCACGAUCCUGCCCGUGGGUUUCAAUGUUCUUAUUGCCCUGUGAGGUUGACUGCUAAGGCGAGUCUGAUUGCACAUGAAAAGUUGCAUACUCGAGAAACUCCGCACGAAUGUACUUUCUGCGAAAUGCGUUUUCAUAGCACUUACCUGUUGCAGAUUCACGUGCGCACUCAUCAGGCUGGUCAACUCAAAAGAAGGCGGCGUAGAAAAACUCCAGUUGAAAAAUAAACAAAGAAAUUCAAAUUCGAAAGAAAUUUCCAAAUCGGUUCGUUUGCGGUUUUACGUAAACUUAGAGGACACCUGUACUUCGUCAA